AGAGUUUGAUCAUGGCUCAGAAUCACGCUGGCGGCGUGCCUCAGACAUGCAAGUCGAACGAGAAAGUUCCCUUCGGGGAAUGAGUAAAGUGGCGCACGGGUGAGUAACACGUAGGUAAUCUACCUUCGGGUGGGGAAUAACGCAGGGAAACUUGCGCUAACACCGCAUAAUGCAGCGGCACCACAUGGUGACAGUUGUUAAAGCGGGGGAUUUUCGAACCUCGCGCCUGAAGAGGAGCCUGCGGCAGAUUAGCUAGUUGGUAGGGUAAUGGCUUACCAAGGCGACGAUCUGUAACCGGCCUGAGAGGGCGGUCGGUCACACUGACACUGACAUACGGGUCAGACUCCUACGGGAGGCAGCAGUCGGGAAUUUUGGGCAAUGGGCGAAAGCCUGACCCAGCAACGCCGCGUGAAGGAUGAAAUCCUUCGGGAUGUAAACUUCGCAAGAAUGGGAAGAAUUAGCGAGCGCUAACACCGCUCGUGAUGACGGUACCAUUUGUAAGCUCCGGCUAACUCCGUGCCAGCAGCCGCGGUA
rnacentral:rRNA from 1 species